AUACGGAGGGUGCGAGCGUUGUUCGGAAUCAUUGGGCGUAAAGCGAGUGUAGGCGGGAGGGCAAGUCGGGUGUGAAAGCCCUCGGCUUAACCGAGGAAAUGCAUUCGAAACUGCCUUUCUUGAGUUCGGGAGAGGGAAGCGGAAUUUCCAGUGUAGAGGUGAAAUUCGUAGAUAUUGGAAGGAACACCAGUAGCGAAGGCGGCUUCCUGGACCGACACUGACGCUGAGACUCGAAAGCGCGGGUAGCAAACAGGAUUAGAUACCCUGGUAGUCCGCGCCGUAAACGAUGAGCACUAGGUGUUGCGGGUAUCGACCCCUGCAGUGCCGUAGCUAACGCAUUAAGUGCUCCGCCUGGGGAGUACGGCCGCAAGGCUAAA
rnacentral:rRNA from 1 species